rnacentral:rRNA from 1 species
AGCAGCCGCGGUAAUUCCAGCUCCAAUAGCGUAUAUUAAAGUUGUUGCAGUUAAAAGCUCGUAGUUGAAUUUUGGAUUCUUCCAAUUGGUCCAUCUUUUAGAUGAGUACUGGUUGUGUGGGGUCUAUCCGCCUGGUGAUACGUAAUGUCCUUUAUUGGAUGUUGCGGGUAGUCAGGACCUUUACCUUGAAAAAUUAGAGUGUUUAAAGCAGGCUUAUGUCGGAAUACAUUAGCAUGGAAUAAUAGAAUAGGACGAAGUUGUUUUAUUUGUUGGUUUCUAGGACAACCGUAAUGAUUAAUAGGGAUAGUUGGGGGCAUUAGUAUUCAAUUGUCAGAGGUGAAAUUCUUGGAUUUAUUGAAGACUAACUACUGCGAAAGCAUUUGCCAAGGAUGUUUUCAUUAAUCAAGAACGAAAGUUAGGGGAUCGAAGACGAUCAGAUACCGUCGUAGUCUUAACCAUAAACUAUGCCGACUAGGGAUCGGGCGAUGUUGUUUCCAUGACUCGCUCGGCACCUUAUGGG